AGCUUUUAAACCACCUCAGCGACCUCGUCCCCAGAGACUGAAGAGCCCAACCCAGAGUCCCCAGGCUCAGCUUCUUCAAUGGAAGGCAUGUUGGUGGGAUUGAGGUGGUCUUCGAAGUAUUCUACCCACCGGCCCUCAAUGUCCCAAUUAGAGGCCAGCAGCACCCAUCCCCACCCU